ACUUGAAUUAGAUUAGUAAUGUGAUUGCCAGUUACUGUUGAGUGAGAUUAAUAUGUUUUAGGCCACUGGUAUGGCAUUAUUGUAACAUGAUUUAUUGUCUGAGUACUUGAGGCCAGAACGGCGUACUGAAGAACAGUAAUUUCGAGCUUUACUGCUUGGUUUUGAGAAGUAAAGUUGGUAGUGCAUUCUUGUUUAGGAGCCCUCAGGGUGUUUCUGAUUUCAGCAGAACAUUCUAUUUCUUUCACCAAAAGGAGAGCUUGAAUAUGUAGUCUCAAGCUUGCUAUAAUUAGUUCUGAUGACAGCCAAGACUGUAAAUCAGUUAAAUUCUGACUUCUGCCAUUGAUAAUAAAUCUCAAGCACUUAUCUUGGGGACAGGCAGAUGAAGGACGGGUAGGCCUCUGGCAGAAAUAAAGUGCUGUUUGAAUGUUAGGUAACAACUAUAAACCUCACACUUAAAAUCUGAUGCCACUUACACUUUUUGUCUAAACUGUCUUUGAAGUACUUUAGUAACUUAGGUUAUUAACAGCUGAGGAGAAUCCUUGUUUGUGUGUGUGUGGUGUGUGCCUCUGCGUGCCUGGGCAUUCUUCUCUAGUCCUCUCUACCUCAUUUGAGAUAAGGUCUCUUACUGAACCUGGAGUAAGGCUAGAGCCUGUCAGGCAGGACUGCACAUGGCCAUGCCUGGCUUUUACAUGAGUUUUGGGAUCCAGGCUCAGGGCUUCCUCUUUGCACAGCAAGUGCUGUUACCUACUGACUCAUCUCUCCAGCCUAAGAAAUAAAAAGUCUUAAAAUAUGAAUGUAUUACUUUCAAAAUGUCUGCAUUCAUUUUGUUAGGGGAAAGUUAAUGGCUAUGCUUUUGGAAUUAUAUAUCUUAAUAAUUAAAUAUGUUAUACAAGGCAAUAAAUUGAUGUUGUAUCGGGUUCCAUUUUGAAACAUGGUCAUCAAAUUCAGGACCAACUGAUACAAUUUAAGUUUUUCAUCUUGGCAGAAGUUGCCUAUUUUUAGUUUCUGGCAAGGGUAAAAAUACUUUGCAUGUCAAUUUAAUGUUUUUUAAAGCCAACAGUUUUAUUUAUUGGCUUAAAAAUUUCAUUCUACUAAAGUCUUAGCUCUGACUUUGAUGAAAUAAAUAGCAAUACUUGGACAAAAUGUGCAAAAUCUUUUUCCAAAAGCAGAUGUAGAUUGGUAUUUAUGGCAUCAGUGCCUUCUAACCUGGUAACAAGCCUACAGUGCUCUGUAAAGCUAAGAGCUUUACAGACUCAAGGAGCAAAUAUUUUAUGUGCCUUUCCUCACUCACCAUGUAUAUGUGUGUGGCGUGCAUUUGUGUGUAUGUCUAUAUUCAGUUCAGCUAGUUAGCAUGACUGAGAAUCCCAUCUUUAUCCCCUGAGUGCUAGGAGUAGAUGGCCACUAUGAAUGCCCAAUUUUUAUGUGUAUCCCAGGGAUCUGAAUUCCAGGCUGCUAACUGGCAGCACUGCACUAUCUCCUCAGGUCACUUGAUUUAGUUUUAUUUUGAAUUAAUCAGAACAUGUCUAUAUUUUUCAAACUUAAUGUUAUCCUAGCAUAAUGAGGCAUUUUAUUAAUGUAUUUGUGUACUUUUAACAUUUCUUAGUGAUUUAAAGAAUAUAUUCAUUUUUUGACAGUUUCAUACAUUAUAUACAGUGUAUCUUGAUCAUAUCCACCCCAACUUUCCCCUCCCAUUCUCUAACAUGUCCCCUUCAUCUUCAUCUACAUAAAAUAAUGACAAUGAGGAUGAUGAUGAUGAUAACCUACUGGGUCUUAUUGUGCUGCCUACACAUACAGGGGUGUGAGUCCUUCCACCAGAACUUUGAUAAAAAUCUACAAAUGAUCCCUACCCCAAAGAAAUGACCUCAUCCAGCACCCAUCACCGGCCAAUAGCUCUUCAGCUAGGCGUGGGGCCUCAUGAGCUUCUUCCUGCCUGUGUUGACUGGCUUGAGGUUGUGCAGGCCUCAUGUGCACUGCCCUCAGUUCUAGGAGGUAGCAUGUGACAGCAUCCUCCUCGUCGCCUGGUUCUUUCUUUGCUUUAGUUUCCUCGGCUACAAUGUUCACUGAGCUUUGAACACAUGUUCUUGAUCUUUAUACGAUACUAAAGUAAACAGCCAUUUUCCACGUUGGAGAUUCAGUAUGGUUUUGAUAAGUAUGAAGAGCUGCAUUCUUUAGUCUGUAUUGUUUUAUUCUUUUCCUUACUGUCGACCUUGAAAGGAAAACUAUCCUCACAUACAUGUUAGUGUUGGCGCUAGAGCCAGCAGAAGAAGCCCUUGAGCUCAGUGAAGAACAAGGCAGUAGCAGAUUGUGAUGGCCAUGAAGAAACUAGAGUCACUCCUCUUUGUUCUGCCAUCGAUCCCUUUUGCUCAUUGGUGAGUGUUCUGCAGGUGUUUGUGGCUGUUCCCAGGGUGUCUUCAACUGUAGUAAUGCCCUCUGAAUAGCUUCUUGCCCGCUGGCUUUGGUGAAUCUGAUCUCUGGAACCCAGCUACACACCCUGGUGGGACAGUUUAUGAAAUGCCACAACGUACCGUAUGUUUUCAGAUCUUCUUGUAAAAUUAAGAAGUGACUGAGGCAUAACUGGAUUUUAUUGGUAUUAGCAAUCCCUUUUUAAACUCAAGAAAAGAACGGUAAAAACUUGUAAGUGAGAUGGCACCUUUAAGCAUUGGGUAUUUAGUAUCUGUCUUCCAUAUUCAGAUCAGACUUCUUAGGGUGAUAAUAUACAGGAAUGAAAAGGGGGAGGACUGUGCUUCCACUCCCAAAUGCUCCUGUGCCAGGUUUCUCCCUGUGUCCGUCUGAUACCACUUGAGCAAUUGCUACCUGCCACCUUCUGAGUUUGUGGGCCGCCUCUUGUUAAAUUGCUCUAAGGGGCUUGCUCAGUUCCAGGUAUGAGGAUGGAAUGAGGUAAUCCUUUCCCACCUCUCAUUUCUGAAGGGUGUGUCUGUCCAGUUAUUACUUGUUCAUUGAACCUGGAGCUUAAGAAGCCAACUCCAGUACAAGCUGUAAUUAUUGAUGUCUGUUUUAUUUUCAUCUGCAAGUUCUGGCAUUUGAUCAAGAAGUUAAUAUAUCGCUUCAUCUCCAGGCUAAAUGUCUCAGCUCUCGAGGUUUUAUUAUUUGAUGGAUAGCAUACAAUUAUGACUGCCCAGAAAGAAAAGUGUAUAUAUUUGUAAAGUGGAUGAUACUAGAAGUAAUUAUGAAUGUCACAGGGAGUGGUGAAGCCGUGAAGCUUUGAGUUUCUUUGAAUUCCUGCCCCAGUAAUAUCUGAGAAACAUUGCUUGAAAUCCUCCUCACUGUUAGCUCUGAAGUGAUUCUGGUGCACGCAAGGAUGAGUAAAUGCAAUCUAAUAGGAAAUACUAUAGACUAAAUCUUAGACAACUUGGCAUUUACAUAGUUAUUAAUGACUCAGUUUUGUUUUGUUUUUUGUUUUUUUCUUGAACAUAGAGAAAUAGCCCAGGCCUACAGACUGUAGCUACUGGUCAUUUGUCACAUGUCCCGGUUCCUAGCUGCUAUAGUUGCUGUCUAGCUUAAUGACUGAUACUCUAGUGCUCAUGGGGAAUGAGUGUGUUAAUGCCCUCACUUUCCCAGCUUGCAUUGGUGGUAUAUAACUGAAGAAUGAACAUACUGCUUCAUACAUUCCUUUGUAAUUUUAAGCUGGGAGUUUCUCCUCAAUGCUAUUAGCGGGUCUCUACAUUAGAAAGGCUGUCUUAGUGCCUGUCCAUGUUAGAAAAUUGUCAUGAAUGUGUCUUCCAAAAUACAAUAACUCAAAC
rnacentral:lncRNA from 1 species